GUGAGGAAUAUUGGACAAUGGGCGCAAGCCUGAUCCAGCCAUGCCGCGUGCAGGAAGACGCAUCUAUGGUGUGUAAACUGCUUUUGUACGGGAAGAAACACUCCCUCGUGAGGGAGCUUGACGGUACCGUAAGAAUAAGGAUCGGCUAACUCCGUGCCAGCAGCCGCGGUAAUACGGAGGAUCCAAGCGUUAUCCGGAAUCAUUUGGUUUAAAGGGUCCGUAGGCGGUUUAAUAAGUCAGUGGUGAAAGCCCGUCGCUCAACGAUGGAACGGCAAUUGAUACUGUUAGACUUGAAGUACAAGGAAGUAACUAGAAUAUGUAGUGUAGCGGUGAAAUGCUUAGAUAUUACAUGGAAUACCAAUUGCGAAGGCAGGUUACUACUUGUGGAUUGACGCUGAUGGACGAAAGCGUGGGGAGCGAACAGGAUUAGAAACCCUGGUAGUCC
rnacentral:rRNA from 1 species